rnacentral:rRNA from 1 species
AGACGGAGGGGGCUAGCGUUGUUCGGAAUUGCUGGGCGUAAAGCGCGCGUAGGCGGAUUGAUCAGUCAGAGGUGAAAUCCCAGGGCUCAACCCUGGAACUGCCUUUGAUACUGUCAGUCUUGAGUUCGAGAGAGGUGAGUGGAAUUCCGAGUGUAGAGGUGAAAUUCGUAGAUAUUCGGAGGAACACCAGUGGCGAAGGCGGCUCACUGGCUCGAUACUGACGCUGAGGUGCGAAAGCGUGGGGAGCAAACAGGAUUAGAUACCCUAGUAGUCC